GCCCAGAUGGUGGAAUUGGUAGACACGCAGGACUUAAAAUCCUGUUCCCUCGGGAGUCCGGGUUCAAUCCCCGGUCUGGGCACCA
rnacentral:tRNA from 1 species